UCCAGACUCCUACGGGAGGCAGCAGUGAGGAAUAUUGGUCAAUGGCCGAGAGGCUGAACCAGCCAAGUCGCGUGAGGGAAGAAUGUCCUAUGGAUUGUAAACCUCUUUUGUCAGGGAGCAAAGUCACCCACGUGUGGGUGUUGGAGAGUACCUGAAGAAAAAGCAUCGGCUAACUCCGUGCCAGCAGCCGCGGUAAUACGGAGGAUGCGAGCGUUAUCCGGAUUUAUUGGGUUUAAAGGGUGCGCAGGCGGCCUGUUAAGUCAGCGGUAAAAGCCCGGGGCUCAACCGCGGCGAGCCGUUGAAACUGGCAGGCUGGAGUUGGAGAGAAGUACGCGGAAUGCGCGGUGUAGCGGUGAAAUGCUUAGAUAUCGCGCAGAACCCCGAUUGCGAAGGCAGCGUACCGGCUCCACACUGACGCUGAGACACGAAAGCGUGGGUAUCGAACAGGAUUAGAUACCCCUGUA
rnacentral:rRNA from 1 species